CAGGGAGGGCACUGCGACGAUACCGGCUUAGAGACGGGGUCCGGGUCCGAGCCAUGCGGUUGGAAGACAACUGGGGCUGCCUCUCUGCCCUGCUCUCACCCGAGUGCGAGUGUGUGUGUGCUGAUGUGUGCGAGUGUGAUAGUGUGUGUCCGCGCGCGUGCGCCGAGUGUUGUCCUCUGCUCAAUCCACGGCAAGCCUGGGUUUCUCUCCGCUCUAGCGGACCUAUUCAGGAAUCGGAGGAGCUCGGGGCGCUGCUCAACAACGGAUUUUGAAGAACGAUUUUGAGACGAUGAUGUGGGGCAUUCUCUAAGGAGCAGAUGGAUUUAUUUAAAAGGGAUUCCCAAGCAGAGCUGUUUGGGAGUCUCAGGAGGGCGUGGAUGAGGGAAGACUAUAGGUGUCUUCUGGAAGGAACUUGAAAAGAGGGUUGAGACCUUUCCUAGAGACAAAGAGGCAAUGGCUUGGAUAAACCUAUGCAUAAUUAACCAGGAGUACCUGGCAGGCUAGUUUGGGUUUCUUCAGGCAGCGGACCCGAAGAAAAGGAUACCUGAAGAGUUCAAAGGUUUGCGAUGGACCAUGGUGUAAAAAUAUAACAUUACCUUAGGCUUCCAAGAAUGAGGUUUCCCUGUGACAUUUAAAUGUUUGCCAUGUCCCAUCUCGCAGUGACACCUUGGGGUAUGACUUCCUCUGGCCAGUGUCUUUUUACCUUGGUCUCUAUAACAUCUAAAAUUUUAAGGAGUUAGGCAGUAGGUGCUUUAUAGUUUUAAGAUAUCUUAGAUACUCGUUACCCUGUUUUACAGGUAAGGAAAUGAAGGCACCGUGGCCUUAAUGAGCACACCCAGGUGAUGAAUCUGAACCCAGACAGGCUACUUUUAGAUUUUGUGUAUGAAUCUAGAACACCCAAUAACCUCCUUCAGUCGGGAAGCUGGCUGGUAGGAAGGCCCAUCCCACUUAGGAAAAGGUUUUCCGUUUUCUUUUAAAAAUGUAUUUCAUGUUCAUUUUAAAAUUGAAAGGCCACCCUCAUCAUUAAAACAAAUCCUGUAAGGACGUUAAAGAUUUUCGUAUAGGCACAACUCGAUCUACGUUAUGGAUAAGUUAUUUAUAAUUAAACUGUCAUUUCAUAUUGUAAAUGUUUAGAAUGACUCAAUCUUUUUUGAAGUGUCAAUCUUUUCUCUGAAAUAGUUCCCUCUCAUUGAUUUAGCAAAUGCUUGCUCAACUAGGCCAAAGGUACACAUUGGUCUUGUAUCUUUCUGACCUAUCACACAUUUCUGCAAUGGAUUAGGUUUUGUUGAAGUUAUUUAACUGGUAUUUUUCUUUAUUUCCUUUUCUCUUUUAGUUUUUUAAAGAUGAGCUCUAUUUUUCCUUUUCACAUGGAAAGGGACUUGUUGUGGGAUAUUUGUACACUGUGUGAAGAUGUGCUUGCUGUGAGUGGUGUAAUAAAAAGCUGAAUGGCAGUUGGGCGAUGGUGGCACAUGCCUUUAAUCCCAGCACUCGGAGGCAGAAACAGGCAGAUCUCUGUGAGUUUGAGGCUAGCCUGGUCUACAAAGCAAGUUUCUGGACAGCCUCCAAAGUUACACAGAGAAACCCUGUCUCAAAAACCAAAAAUACUGCAUUGCCAACAGUUAAGCAGGAGUUUCUAGGGAGAGAAGGGAAGAAGAGGAGGAGAGAAUCGAGGUGCAGGGAGAACACACAGAAUAGGAAGGUAAAAAGCCAAAGGCAAAAUGUAGAUUAAAUGAGUUAAUUUAAGUUAUAAGAGCUAGUGGAACAAGCCUAAGCGAAGGCCGAGCUUUCAUAAGAAGUCUCUGUGUCAUUAUUUGGAAGCUGAUUGGUGGGAUAGCGAAGACUGGUUACAAACUACGUUUUGCCUCAUGGCUUUUUUCCUUUCUUUCCCAUUCUGUAUAUCCAACUGAUUCAUAGUCGAUUACCUCCUCUUCCUUUCCCCCAAAAUCCUGCUUAUACCUUCUGCCUAACUAUUGGCCAUUCAGCUUUUUAUUACACCAAUUGAAACAAAUACAUCUUCACACAGUGUACAAAUAUUCCACAACAGGGACUCAAGCUAACCAAUUAAGAGUCAUGAAUUAAAUUCAGGGGGAGGAAUGCUAAAUCGGAACCUCAGGCAAAUCAAAAAAACAAAUUAUCCAUAUUCCCUUUGUUUCCCCACAUACAACCUAAACUGUGGCCUGGAAAAGGUGCUGAUCAGAUUAUAAUUCUCACAUUUGCAACCCCUUGGUUGCAUAAGAGGCUCACUUACAUAAUUGGGAGAAAUUUCACAUUUAUUUCACAUAUUUUUCUUUCACAUGCAGAACUAAAUUUGAUUUUUUUGUUUUGUUUUUGUUUUUGAAACAGGCUCUCACUAUGUGUCUGGCCUUCAACUAGCUAUGUAGACCAGACUAGCCUUGAUAUUAUAGAGACUCACCUGUCUCUUCCUCUGAGCGCUGGGAUUAAAGAGGACAGCCACCACACUGAGCCAGAGCUAGAUUUUUAUAGAUGUAAAUACAAAUGCCAUCAAAGCAGGUGGUGGACUGGCUGGGAGAAGAAGGGGGCCAGUGAGGGAGGAAGAGGAGAAGGUGAUACCAAGAGGAGUGUGGGCAAAGCACAAUGGUACACAUUUAUGAAAAUGUCACAAUGGAACAUUGUUCUGUAGGCUAAAAAAUACUGUAAGCAAAAUAAUGGGAUGAUUAUAAAUGGUUGUGCAGUACUCUAUGUAGGUAAGUAAUAUAUACCUUUCUGAUUAAGGCUGAUACAAUUGGCCUGGCAUGAGGGUGCCCACCUUUAAUCCCAGCACUUUGGAGACAGAGGCAGGUGGAUCUCUAAGUUUGAGGCCAGCCGGGUCUACAGAGUGAAUUCUAGGACAGCCAGGAAUACACAGAGAAACACCCUGUCUUAACCCUGCUCCCAACAUGAUAGAAUUGACUCCAAAGAAAUAUAGAGUUCUUUUACAAAGUUAGUAUUUUGUAAAGUUAAAAAAAGUUUUGUGACAUUCGGUUCUUUCAGAGAGUCUUCUUUCAUAUUCCUAACCCCACAUAAGGCACAAAACCGACUGAUGUCCUGACAGGGUGACUUUGAGCAAGCAAUAUGAUACACACAUAGGGAAAUGCAUACAAAUCCCAAGAAGUACCUUUAAAACUAUCCAAACAAGAAGAAACAGGCUGUGCUACAGAGGGAAAGUAGCAUUCAUGAACGUUCUCUGGUGUGGAUUCCAGGCAGCUGUCCUUGCUGUCUGCUAGAGCUACAUAGAGAGGAACUAAAUGAAAUACCAAAGCUUACAACAGAUGUUUUCAAAGUCAAACAGCAGCAAGGCAAGUUUUCCUUAACUACUGACACAAAAGCGGUUUUCUAAUUCUUGUUUGUUUGUUUGUUUGUUUUUUGAAACAGGAUUUCUUGGUGUAGCCUUGGCUGUCCUAGAACUUGAUUUGUGGACCAGGCUGGCCUCAAACUCACAGAAACCCACCUGCUUCUGCAUCCUGAGUGCUGGGAUUAAAGGUGUGCACCUAAUUCUUAAAAUUGAAAUGUGAACCCAUUUUUUUCCAAGUCCUGCACGAAUUGGGUUUUGUGUUUUGUCUCUGGUAAUCUAACUGCUUCUUGUCAGCGAGUGCUAUUGCCAUAGCACUGGGCUUGGCAAUGCAGAUAGAAGCAAUAGGCCAGUUACCAUUCCCAUGGGUGUACCCUAGAUUAGGUAUCUCAAGGGAACCAGGCUCUUUGCAAUGUUUUUUAAUGGCCAGAAACCAUCAGGAAUGACACUGGACAGCCAAUGCUGGCAUUCAGAGUUAGGAACCAACAAGGUCUCCCAAGACUAGAAAAGUGGCUUUAGUUGGUGAAAAUACAGAAACUGUAAAUUGAGUUGCUCUAAGUCUUGGGAAUGGAGCUCUCUGUAACAGCUGUAGCAAACCAGAUGAAUUCCUCUCUCAAAAUGAUUUUCUUUGGUUGUCUUUCUAUUGGAAUAAAAUGGAACAACAAAAAAAAUAUUCUUCAGCAAAUUCAAUCUGCAGAAAAGCAAGCCCUUUUAUAAUACACCUAUUUUCAGAUAGAUUUUUCUUCUUUUCUGGGGUUUAAACCCAGGGCCUUGCACAUGCUAGGCAAGUACUCUGCCCUUUGAAAGCUUUUUAUCUUGAGACAUGGUCUUAAUUAACCAGACUGUCUUUGAGCUCACUCUGUAAGCGCAGGCCUGCCUUGAACGUCCGUCUCCUGCUUCAGCCUCCAGAAUAGCUGUAAUUUCAGGACUGCUUCACCAGAACUGGGAGAACUAAUUUUGUUUGUUAGUUUCAUUGUAGUCCCAAACUAACCAACUAAAUGAAAAGCCACAGUGGGCCUACCACUUUACUGCCCUCAAGAGUCUGUGUGAGACUCCUCUUCAACGUUCAGGCUAAGCAGAGAUGCUCCCUUCUCUCCAAAACACAAAUAGCAUUGCUGUGUUUCAGCCACUCUCUUCCAGGCUAGAGACAGUCACAGCAGAAUAAUAGCAUCUGAGCUCCCUAAUGGCAUGAAGAGUACCUGUGACAGCCCUCGGAGGAAGCACGGUGGGAAAGGCUGGAUGGGCUGGAAUCUAGAGAGGGCAUUCGUUAGUGGGUUGGGUUCUUAUCUGGCGCUGUUGCUUCUAAGUUGGCAGCAGGGUUAUCUUUUGAAAAAAAAAGAAAAAAAACAAGCUGAUGAAGACUGAGUGAGAAUAUGUCACCUUUUAUGGUCAGUGCCAUUCUUUCAACCUCAGUAAAUUCCUUCUCCCUUUCCUACAGGCAGUCUCCAAAGCAGGUGCACACAGCAACUAAUUAAGAUGGAGAGUGUCCUAACUUCCACACAAAUGGAUCUCUCCAUUUUCAGUGUCUGUACUGUGAGGCUCUCGUGAUACACUUAGUGUACUGUGAGUGUGUAAAUACGGUGGGAUGUGGGGGAGGGGCAGCACCGAGACUGGUCAUGAGAGAUCAAAGCUGUUUGUUGUGACCUCUGCUCGGGAAUCCACUGCCCCUGUUUGUCCUACCUGCUUCCAACCCCUUUCUUUCAGGAUGGGCUCUGCCUUCCUGCCUCUAAAAAGGGCAUUUAGAGGUCACAAUCUGGGGUGCUUCCCCCAAUUCUACCCUUUUCGUUUACUGCCCAGAGCCUGUAAUAGUGAGGCCUCAUAAUUAUUUGUUGCAUUGAACCCAGUUCCAAGUUACCCUCUGGGGAGGAGCCUACCAUGGCCUGCUGGUUUUUUGCUUUUGGUGCGGACUAUUGGGUGGUUGCCAUCGACUUGAGAAACAGGCAAGUGUGGAACGUAGAUUACCAAGUCCCUCACUAUUUAUCUACAAGUUUUCUUAUAACACACUGCCUUCCACACAGUAUGCAUUCCAACACAUCACAACCGGGGGAUGUUUUCCAUGUUAUGUAAGCUCGAGUUUAAGGUUAAGACUUAGCAUUGCAGAGUAGGGAUACUGUUUAAUAGCUGCAGCCCUGCAGGCUGACGUCCCCAUCUGUGGCCAUUGUUUUGUUUACUGAUCACAUGCCGUAUCAGCUACUGUGAUGGGAGCUUCACCUGUGCCUCUGGUUCUCAGAACGCCCUCUGCAAGGUGAAUUUACAUCAUCCCCUUUUUGAGACAGAGAACAAGACAGGCUCAGAGAAGUUAAGCAGUCACAUGGCAGAGCUGGAGUGAAUCCAUACCCAUCCCCCACCCCUCCCUCACACCUCGACAAGGCAAAGCCUCCUGAGAAAUUGCUGCAUGAUUAGCCUUGAACAUUUCUGGUAAAGUGGCUUAACCUCUUCCAUUUAAAUUUUAGCAUCGUUAUUGGAAAGCCUUGUUAAUAAUUGAAUGAGCACAGCUGAUGAGAAAAACACCGUGCGCUUCUGGUCCUGAAGGUCAGCCAGAAAUGUUGUUGAAUACGGGUACCCGUUGGAUUUGGCUAGAGAAUCCCCAAAAGAAUGAUGUCAAAC
rnacentral:lncRNA from 1 species